rnacentral:rRNA from 1 species
AUUGCAGGCUGCAACUCGCCUGCAUGAAGUUGGAAUUGCUAGUAAUCGCGAAUCAGAAUGUCGCGGUGAAUACGUUCCCGGGCCUUGUACACACCGCCCGUCACACCAUGAGAGUCGAUAACACCCGAAGCCUGUGAGCUAACCGCGAGGAGGCAGCAGUCGAAGGUGGGGUUGAUGAUUGGGGUGAAGUCGUAACAAGGUAAC